rnacentral:rRNA from 1 species
UACAGAGGUCUCAAGCGUUGUUCGGAUUUACUGGGCGUAAAGGGCGCGUAGGCGGCCUCUGCAAGUCGACUGUGAAAUCUCCGGGCUUAACCCGGAAAGGUCAGCCGAUACUGCAGGGCUAGAGUGCAGAAGGGGCAACUGGAAUUCUCGGUGUAGCGGUGAAAUGCGUAGAUAUCGAGAGGAACACCUGCGGCGAAGGCGGGUGCUGGGCUGACACUGACGCUGAGGCGCGAAAGCUAGGGGAGCGAACGGG